AGAGUUUGAUCCUGGCUCAGGAUGAACGCUGGCGGCGUGCUUAACACAUGCAAGUCGAACGGGAAAUACUUCAUUGAGACUUCGGUGGAUUUGAUUUAUUUCUAGUGGCGGACGGGUGAGUAACGCGUGGGUAACCUGCCUUAUACAGGGGGAUAACAGUCAGAAAUGACUGCUAAUACCGCAUAAGCGCACAGGACCGCAUGGUCCGGUGUGAAAAACUCCGGUGGUAUAAGAUGGACCCGCGUUGGAUUAGCUUGUUGGUGGGGUAACGGCCCACCAAGGCGACGAUCCAUAGCCGGCCUGAGAGGGUGAACGGCCACAUUGGGACUGAGACACGGCCCAGACUCCUACGGGAGGCAGCAGUGGGGAAUAUUGCACAAUGGGGGAAACCCUGAUGCAGCGACGCCGCGUGGAGGAAGAAGGUCUUCGGAUUGUAAACUCCUGUUGUUGAGGAAGAUAAUGACGGUACUCAACAAGGAAGUGACGGCUAACUACGUGCCAGCAGCCGCGGUAAAACGUAGGUCACAAGCGUUGUCCGGAAUUACUGGGUGUAAAGGGAGCGCAGGCGGGAGAACAAGUUGGAAGUGAAAUCCAUGGGCUCAACCCAUGAACUGCUUUCAAAACUGUUUUUCUUGAGUAGUGCAGAGGUAGGCGGAAUUCCCGGUGUAGCGGUGGAAUGCGUAGAUAUCGGGAGGAACACCAGUGGCGAAGGCGGCCUACUGGGCACCAACUGACGCUGAGGCUCGAAAGUGUGGGUAGCAAACAGGAUUAGAUACCCUGGUAGUCCACACCGUAAACGAUGAUUACUAGGUGUUGGAGGAUUGACCCCUUCAGUGCCGCAGUUAACACAAUAAGUAAUCCACCUGGGGAGUACGACCGCAAGGUUGAAACUCAAAGGAAUUGACGGGGGCCCGCACAAGCAGU
rnacentral:rRNA from 1 species